rnacentral:rRNA from 1 species
GACGAACGCUGGCGGCGUGCUUAACACAUGCAAGUCGAACGGAAAGGCCCUGCUUUUGUGGGGUGCUCGAGUGGCGAACGGGUGAGUAACACGUGAGUAACCUGCCCUUGACUUUGGGAUAACUUCAGGAAACUGGGGCUAAUACCGGAUAGGAGCUCCUGCUGCAUGGUGGGGGUUGGAUAGUUUCGGCGGUUGGGGAUGGACUCGCGGCUUAUCAGCUUGUUGGUGGGGUAGUGGCUUACCAAGGCUUUGACGGGUAGCCGGCCUGAGAGGGUGACCGGCCACAUUGGGACUGAGAUACGGCGCAGACUCCUACGGGAGGCAGCAGUGGGGAAUAUUGCACAAUGGGCGGAAGCCUGAUGCAGCAACGCCGCGUGCGGGAUGACGGCCUUCGGGUUGUAAACCGCUUUCGCCUGUGACGAAGCGUGAGUGACGGUAAUGGGUAAAGAAGCACCGGCUAACUACGUG